ACGAACGCUGGCGGCGUGCCUAAUACAUGCAAGUUGAGCGAUGAAGAUUGGUGCUUGCACCAAUUUGAAGAGCAGCGAACGGGUGAGUAACGCGUGGGGAAUCUGCCUUUGAGCGGGGGACAACAUUUGGAAACGAAUGCUAAUACCGCAUAAUAACUUUAAACAUAAGUUUUAAGUUUGAAAGAUGCAAUUGCAUCACUCAAAGAUGAUCCCGCGUUGUAUUAGCUAGUUGGUGAGGUAAAGGCUCACCAAGGCGAUGAUACAUAGCCGACCUGAGAGGGUGAUCGGCCACAUUGGGACUGAGACACGGCCCAAACUCCUACGGGAGGCAGCAGUAGGGAAUCUUCGGCAAUGGACGAAAGUCUGACCGAGCAACGCCGCGGGAGUGAAGAAGGUUUUCGGAUCGUAAAACUCUGUUGGUAGAGAAGAACGUUGGUGAGAGUGGAAAGCUCAUCAAGUGACGGUAACUACCCAGAAAGGGACGGCUAACUACGUG
rnacentral:rRNA from 1 species